UACGUAGGGCGCAAGCGUUGUCCGGAAUCAUUGGGCGUAAAGAGCUCGUAGGCGGUCUGUUACGUCUGCUGUGAAAUCCUAGGGCUUAACCCUGGGCCUGCAGUGGAUACGGGCAGACUAGAGGUAGGUAGGGGAGAAUGGAAUUCCCGGUGUAGCGGUGAAAUGCGCAGAUAUCGGGAGGAACACCGGUGGCGAAGGCGGUUCUCUGGGCCGUACCUGACGCUGAGGAGCGAAAGCGUGGGGAGCGAACAGG
rnacentral:rRNA from 1 species